rnacentral:rRNA from 1 species
AGAAGUACUUGUACUUCGGCGUCGAGCGGCGGACGGGUGAGUAAUGCUUGGGAAUAUGCCAUAGGGUGGGGGACAACAGUUGGAAACGACUGCUAAUACCGCAUAACGUCUUCGGACCAAAGGAGGGGAUCUUCGGACCUUUCGCCUUUUGAUUAGCCCAAGUGAGAUUAGCUAGUUGGUGGGGUAAAGGCCUACCAAGGCGACGAUCUCUAGCUGGUUUGAGAGGAUGAUCAGCCACACUGGGACUGAGACACGGCCCAGACUCCUACGGGAGGCAGCAGUGGGGAAUAUUGCACAAUGGGGGAAACCCUGAUGCAGCCAUGCCGCGUGUGUGAAGAAGGCCUUCGGGUUGUAAAGCACUUUCAGUUGUGAGGAAAGGGAUGUAGUUAAUACCUGCAUUCUGUGACGUUAGCAACAGAAGAAGCACCGGCUAACUCCGUGCCAGCAGCCGCGGUAAUACGGAGGGUGCGAGCGUUAAUCGGAAUUACUGGGCGUAAAGCGUGCGUAGGCGGUUGAUUAAGCGAGAUGUGAAAUCCCGGGGCUUAACCUCGGAACUGCAUUUCGAACUGGUCGACUAGAGUUUUGUAGAGGGUGGUGGAAUUUCCAGUGUAGCGGUGAAAUGCGUAGAGAUUGGAAGGAACAUCAGUGGCGAAGGCGGCCACCUGGACAAAAACUGACGCUGAGGCACGAAAGCGUGGGUAGCAAACAGGAUUAGAUACCCUGGUAGUC